AAAAACAUUUAUUAAAAUAGAAAAUUACUUUUAAAUAAGAGAAAGUGGUUUUAUCCCACUUUUUCCCCUAAAAUCUCACUUAGAUUUUUUAUGUGUUUGGUGUCAUUUAGUUAUGCAAUGGGAUUACAUGUAAAAUUUGAAUAAAAACACAAGUUUAUUUAGAUGAGAGGGUUCAUGCAAUUUCAAUCCUUGAAGAAAUAAUUGCUCUCUCAAGUUCUUCACCAAACACAAAAAAAUUUCUCCAAAAUUUUCCAAAAUUCACUCUCAUUUUGGAUUCCACCAUCCAAUCUAAGGACCUAGAGGAUAGUAGGGAAGAUCUUGUGGUGAUCUACAAGCAUUGGAAAGAAGAAUCGAGUUGUAGAUCGGAGCUAAUUGGAGUAUUCUUCAAAGAAAACUCGCCAUCGUGACCAGGCGAACACAUGAUCGCAUGAAUCAAGCACUCACUGAUGCAAUCAAGGAAAAGCUAUCAGAUACAAACAUACAAUCGCAUAACCAGCUAUGGUAAUAAAGCAUGACAUGGGCAUUAGGAGUCAAAUCAUAGAUUGAGUUGGUGGCUGACAAGAGAACUUCGUUGAAGAUUCAAUGAACUUCUGACGCGUUGCAGGCACACAUCAGGGUAUGGAAUUUAAUGUGUCCCAUUGAUGCUUAGAUUUAUGAGGUGUGGAAAAUAUGGAUGAUAUGUAUUGAUGGAUAGCGCUGUGUAUUCAAGUUUCCCCAACGGAAUCCAAGUGUAAAUUCCUCUGAGUUUCCUGGUAAGUCUAGGGUCGAACACAGGGACUUCUGAAAAUAGUUGCGUUGGAGAUUUUUAUGAAAACUUGCGAUAACUAGAGAAAUAAACAAGUGUUGGGUGGUUUUUGCA